AAUGAACGUUGGCGGCGUGGAUUAGGCAUGCAAGUCGAGCGCGAACCGGUCUUCGGACCGGGGAAAGCGGCGAAAGGGAGAGUAACGCGUGGUUAUCUGCCUUCAGACUCAGGAUAGCUGCGGGAAACUGCAGGUAAUACUGAAUAAUGUCUCCGGACCAAAGGUGUGAUUCCGUCUGAAGAUGAGACCGCGUCCUAUUAGCUAGUUGGUGGGGUAAUGGCCCACCAAGGCAAUGAUGGGUACUGGGUGUGAGAGCACGACCCAGCUCACUGGGACUGAGACACUGCCCAGACACCUACGGGUGGCUGCAGUCGAGAAUCUUCGGCAAUGGGCGCAAGCCUGACCGAGCGACGCCGCGUGCGGGAUGAAGGCCUUCGGGUUGUAAACCGCUGUCAGUGGGGAGGAAAUGCGUCGGGGGUACUCCCCCGGGCUUGACCUAUCCGCAGAGGAAGUACGGGCUAAGUUCGUGCCAGCCGCCGCAGUAAGAC
rnacentral:rRNA from 1 species